UACGGAGGGAGCUAGCGUUGUUCGGAAUUACUGGGCGUAAAGCGCACGUAGGCGGCUUUGUAAGUUAGAGGUGAAAGCCCGGGGCUCAACCCCGGAAUUGCCUUUAAGACUGCAUCGCUUGAAUCCGGGAGAGGUGAGUGGAAUUCCGAGUGUAGAGGUGAAAUUCGUAAGAUAUUCGGAAGAACACCAGUGGCGAAGGCGGCUCACUGGACCGGUAUUGACGCUGAGGUGCGAAAGCGUGGGGGAGCAAACAGG
rnacentral:rRNA from 1 species